rnacentral:rRNA from 1 species
UACAGAGGUCUCAAGCGUUGUUCGGAUUCAUUGGGCGUAAAGGGUGCGUAGGUGGCGCCGUUAGUCAGGUGUGAAAUCUCGGAGCUUAACCCCGAAACUGCAUUCAAUACUGCGGUGCUCGAGUACUGGAGAGGAGACUGGAAUUCACGGUGUAGCAGUGAAAUGCGUAGAUAUCGUGAGGAAGGCCAGUGGCGAAGGCGGGUCUCUGGACAGUUACUGACACUGAGGCACGAAGGCCAGGGGAGCAAACGGG